UACGUAGGGUGCGAGCGUUGUCCGGAUUUAUUGGGCGUAAAGAGCUCGUAGGCGGCCUGUCGCGUCGGCUGUGAAAACCCGGGGCUCAACCCCGGGCCUGCAUUCGAUACGGGCAGACUAGAGUUCGGUAGGGGAGUCUGGAAUUCCUGGUGUAGCGGUGAAAUGCGCAGAUAUCAGGAGGAACACCGGUGGCGAAGGCGGGACUCUGGGCCGAUACUGACGCUGAGGCGACGAAAGCGUGGGGAGCAACAGG
rnacentral:rRNA from 1 species